AUUGAACGCUGGCGGCAUGCUUUACACAUGCAAGUCGAACGGUAACAGGUCUUCGGAUGCUGACGAGUGGCGAACGGGUGAGUAAUACAUCGGAACGUGCCUAGUAGUGGGGGAUAACUACUCGAAAGAGUAGCUAAUACCGCAUGAGAUCUACGGAUGAAAGCAGGGGACCUUCGGGCCUUGUGCUACUAGAGCGGCUGAUGGCAGAUUAGGUGGUUGGUGGGGUAAAGGCUUACCAAGCCUGCGAUCUGUAGCUGGUCUGAGAGGACGACCAGCCACACUGGGACUGAGACACGGCCCAGACUCCUACGGGAGGCAGCAGUGGGGAAUUUUGGACAAUGGGCGAAAGCCUGAUCCAGCAAUGCCGCGUGCGGGAUGAAGGCCCUCGGGUUGUAAACUGCUUUUGUACGGAACGAAAAGCCUGGGGCUAAUAUCCUCGGGUCAUGACGGUACCGUAAGAAUAAGCACCGGCUAACUACGUGCCAGCCGCCGCCGUAA
rnacentral:rRNA from 1 species